GCUUUCAUGGAACUAUAAUGUAUUUUAAUCUUCUCAUCUGAAAUCAUGAGUGGUUCUGUGUAACUGGAAGUUCAUGAUUUCACUACAUGAGGAAUUCAUAGAAGCAGGACCAUUUUAUCCUCAGUUCAGGUGCACACUCAAAGACUAACCUGCUAUGCCUAGAUUAUUCACAGUGUAAGUAUUACACUACUGAACUUCCGGCAGUGAGUAAAAUAGAUGUAAGGCUGUAUUAAUUCAAAUUGUCCCUGUUUUUAUAGGAUUGCACCUACACUUUAACAUUAACUCUAGUUUUAGUAUUUAAUUGACAUAAAUACAAAUAAACCAUGUACGAUUUGUUUUUAAUGGAUUUGCAGCAUGCAUACAUAUUAGAUACCAUAAGGUAUUUUCAUUUCACAUUAAUCAUAUGAGGAUAAUGUACUCGACAAUAAAACAUAUUUCUGACAGGUUUGUACAAUUUUUUCAGCCCAGAUCUCCUUUUUCCUAGAAUUGUUCUCUAACUUAUUUAUGUUUCAACACUUUCCUAAGACAUCUCUCCAAUUGUAAGAUUGUUAAAUACAUUGCUACAAUCCAGGUUACUACUCUAAGUGCCUUCAUGUCUGAAUCAAAUAUUAAGCUACAUUUAGGGCAAUUUAUAUUCCCAGAAAGCUAUAUAAAAUCUUUCAUUUUCUAUUCAUACUAACACUCUAAGAGUCUUGCAUUUUAUGCCAUUUAAAUGAGAAACACAAAACGAAAUCUACUCACUAAAAUCAUGUAGACUCUGUGCACACCUAUGUAAGACAAGCACCUCACUGUCAAAAAGCAGUUAUCUAAUUCUGACAGGUAUUUUCCUCCCAGUAAACUUGUAUGUAUUUCACAGGAACUAAUUAGAAAUGGACUCGCUGAAGCAUAUUUCGAAGUAAAAUCCACAAUUCCAAGGUGUUUCCACCUCAUCUACCUGCUAUCCAGCCUGUGGCUAUUCGUUACUUUUGAUUAUUGCUGCCUCUGUGGUUCUAUGAAUAGGUGUGGAUACUCAGCUUGGUGAGAACUCUGUGCAUCCUUCACAGAGGCGUGCUGAUUUAGGACAACCACUUAAAUCAGGGUAUCUGUUGAGUAUAAAGGUAUAACAUGAAAUAUAUUUGUUCUCUUCUUCAAGGCACCCUUGUUUGUAAACAGUUUACUGCUGCCUGUACAAUUGUGAUUUUCAUUUGAGCCUUUUGUUCUAUACUCGUAUUGUGAUCAUUAAACAUCUCAAGCAAUGGGAAGCAUAUGCUGGGAGUGUCACAUUUUGGAUAUGUAAGCAAAUUCACGUGUACUUGAGUAAAAAUAAGUGAGUUAGCUAUCACAACAUUCAGCAACAAAAGAUUGGAUCAGCUCCUAGCCAAGAAAAGCUUACCAUACCACCUGCAAAUUCUCCUCUCACCUGGUGAAAUUCCUUCUCCUGGAUGAUAAGGUUCUUGGCUGUCAUUCUUUUCCAUGCAGCAGGGAAUAUCUUUGAAUGUUUGACUGUCCUUUAACUUAACAGAGAUAUUGACAACAUUUAAUUAUUUUAAUUAGGGAGAUGAUCCUGCCUAUGACUCCAGACCUCCAGAAGUUGUGCUAUCAUCAUAGCUCUGCAAAGAUUACUGAAUUUCAGUAUUUACCUGUUGUCACACUAAUGCCUCAUACUUAAAAUUUGGGUGCUGAAUAUUCUUAGGUCUUAGGAAUAAGCUUUCCGAUGAUCAUCUCGAAAUACAGCUGGAAUCCCAGAUGCAUGCAUAUCUUUGAAGAUCGAUGACCCAAGUGUUGACCUAAGUACCACCAGAUUCUACUGAUUAGUAAUUAUCAAGAAAUCCUGGCCACACUGACAUCAGUGAGAAAAUUGAAACCCUAUCUUCUGGCCUAGCAUACAUGGAUUGUUUUAGGGUAAUACAGAGGCAUGACAGUUCAGUGUGCCCUCUAGGUUCAUAACAGGCAUCAAAGUGCAAACACUCAGUCUUGUGUUUAAUGUGGAGAAUACUCUCCUGAUUUGUUUCUGUGAAUUUGGAACAUUUUGUAUAGAUCUUUUAAUCCCCAAAGUAUUAACACAGUAGUGAUCACAGAAUCACAUUGUAGAAGUUGGAAGGGAUCUCUGGGGAUCAUCAAGUCCAAGCCCCCUGCUAGAACAGGCUCUCUAGAUUAGGUUGCACAGGAAAACAUCCAGGCGGGUCUUAAAUAUAUCCAUUGAAGAAGACUCCACAACCUAUCUGGGCAGCUUAUUCCAGUUCUCUGUCAUCUUUAAAGUAAAGAAGUUCUGUCUCAUAUUUGUAUGAAACUUCUUGUGUUCCAGUUUUACCUGUUACCCCUUGUCCUUUCACUCUACGCUGUUGUCAAUGAAAGCUCCUCACUGGAUUUCAGAGUAUUCUGCAUUGGCCACUUGGUGAAUGGAACAGGAAAGACAGCAGUCAUGUAUCUCAUUUUGAGGUUAUCCUUUCAUUAGACUUGGAAGGAGGAAGGUGGCAGAACCAAUAGUCAAUCAAUGUCUUCCAUAUCAGGGUCUCUAAAAGUGCAGAAAACUUGUCACAGAGAUUGACUGUCUUUCACAUUUACUGAAAUGCAGUCACAUCGAGCAAAACAAAGAACAAAGAAGUUCCCCAGCUCUCUGAAACAAUCAAUGUUUAUAUAAAUUAGUUUGUGAUCCAUAUUACUCAGCUGUAUCAUUUUUUUUUAUUGAACACAUUAAUGUAAAAUAAAGACCUAAGUGUUCAUUGUACACAGCCUGAAACCUCUUCCAGCAGAGGAGAAAUAAAAAGUAAUUAGAAGAAUAGCUGACUAAAAGGAUUUAAAAUUUUAUUGAGACCCCUGGCUUACAUAAAGCCUACAUUAAAUGUUAUUCAUCUGAAUGUUUCACUCACCUCAUUCCAUUUUUUCUGAUACAAACACAAUAAAUGUAAUAGAUUUUAAGCACGAUUAACCCUAUAUUAUCAUCUGAAAAAAAAGUGCAAAGAGAAGUACAAUACAUAUGGCAGCAAAAUAGGCUAUCGUAAAAUACUGCCCCAGGACAAUACCACACCAAUCUAAGUCAAAUCAGCCAACAGCAAAUAAGAAAGUAUGCUCUGGAUAUUUGAUCUAUCCUUUUCUGAUUAAGAUGGAGGACACUUCAUUCUUAUUUCCACACACUCAUGAAAUGACUCUAAUUUCUGAGUAAAGCAACGAUCUCACAAGAGCCAAGAAAUGAUUGCCUAGGCCUGAAAUAUACAGGUCAAUACACUUUAAAGCUACAUUCUAUAUUACUACAUUAUUUAUUUCUUAAAAUAUUUAAUGUUUCCUUCACUGAUUCGUCAUUAUGUCAGCAAUGUUACCAUAAAAUAAUAUUAUCCAUUACAGACAUGUUAUUUUCUGGUGUGGGUUUUUUGUUUUUUUUUGUUUUUUUCUGUAAGUUUUGCUGACAAACAAGCCUUGAAUGCUGAGGGCUAAGUCACAUCAGUUUUUUCCUUUUAUUAUUGGUUGUAGUGGAGUUUCACCAGUUCAUUAUCAGUUGCUCUGUCAACCCUUACCUUCCCAGUGAGAAAGGGAAAUACAGUGAUGUUUAGUACUUAAAAUUUCUUCUCCAGAGAUUACUUAGUAAUGAACAGUUGUAAAUUCUGCUUCUUCCUAAUGAGGACAGACCUUCACAGUUUAAAACAGCAUACAGUCAGUAUACUGUUCAAAUAAGGUCUAACUUAUAUCCGUAGACUUGUAUUUCACUCUGCAAGAUGAGAUGUUAACCAUGCACUACCCUCUGAAUUUGUACCACUGCAACACACUGCUCUUCUUCCUUACCUUCCACUUGAGAUAUUACGAGCCCGUUAUAGCCAUCAGUCAACUCUCCCAAGAGGCAUGGAAAGCAGAUGUAUUAUUGCUUCUACUUCACAAAGGAAUAACUGAGGAAAAUUGAUUUUCUCAAAGUCCUGAAGUCAGAGAGGCCAUAACAUCAUUAGAACAGUACGCAGAUUUUCCCACAUCUUCCGAUGAUGUUCAAGGAAAGGCAAGAAAAUGGUGCUGAAAAAGUUUUCCUUGCUAGAGAGAGGGACAUUCCUGUGGAUUCAGAAUUUGCAAAGCACACUAGCUCUUAGAAGCAACAUCUGUCUUGGAAUUGUAUUUGUUUUGGUGAAAAAGAGGUCAGGAAUAUCUUGUCCCCAUGCUGAUAAGAAAUCUGCAUCAUUGACUGCAAAUGUUUGUUGACUUUUGCCCUAAUGGUCCCAAUUCUCUCAUUUCAGUUUGAAUCAGCUAUUAUACUGCCAAGAUGGCAGAAUAACAUAUGCUUUACUUGUAAUCAGGGAAAAAAAAAAAGCAAAACAGAAAACCUUGCACAAUGAAGGAUUUUGAAAUGCUAUUUCUCAUUGUCUCUUUCACGCUAUUCCAGAGCCAACAGUAUCACAAAGUCUUAGAAAGCUGAAGAAACAGGGAAAAGUAGGUGCUGUUUUUAAAGGCUUUCUCAGGCACAGUGGUCUAAUUAGACUCAACAGUACAGUCCAGCAAACCUCUCUCACUGAUAAAAAACAUAUGUGGAAAUAGCCUUCUUCAGAAGGACCAGAUUUCCAAGGCAGCCAGAAAUUUGCAAGAAAUCACCUCCAUCUGCCUCUGUACGUCAAUUUACCUAUCCUGUUGUGCAGCAACCAUUCUACAGCAUAGCUCUAGCACAUAGAGGAGAUCUGCAGCAAUUUUUAAUAAAGCUUCUUAAAAGACAGAUGUGGAUUCUGGAAGGAGCUUCUUUCUUUCUGUAUCCCCAUCCUUAUUUUCCUGUCAGUAAGUUUAUACAACAACUUCCUUAAGAGUCCUUGGAGGAAACAGAUUGUUUUCCAUACUCUGGGCUGCAACAAAAUCAGAGCCCUUCAGACUUAUGAGACAUUGUUAAUUGAUGGAGAAGAUUGAUCUCAGUGAGCUGCCCUUUUACAGAUCUGGCCAGAGAGGUUGAAAUGUUAUUGCUCCCUGAUUACUGACUCCAUCCUUGCACUGACAAUUACCAUCCAUUCAGCCAAAUAUCACGAAUAAGCCAGCAACAUACUGCAGUUAUGCCAGACAGCUUUGUCAGCAUGUCUUUUAAUAGCAGUAUUCUAAUAGGAGCUUCAGAUAAUAUUUGCCACUCAUUCCAAUAUCCCAUCACUCUCGCUUUCCUACUUGGAGCCUUAUUUAUGCAUGUUGGUGGUGGCAUAACCUAUAGAUGGGACUUUUUCAGCUUGAAAAUGAGAUACUGUCAUAUAUGUCAGAGAAGAUCAAAUGAAGCUUUCCAAUAUACUGCCCCAGAGGUAUUAACUUCUUAGAGUGGCUCUCCAUUUCCCAAAGGAUUGAAAUAAUCUGCCCAGAAUGCAUGAGCCUAGCAGUCAGUUCCAACUGUUUUCCUCAGGAAAACUGGGGGAGAUCUUGGUAUUAUUUAAUAACUGUAGCUUCUGGCAAAGGUUUAAUAUGCGCAUUUAAGCACUGUAUUUAGCUCCAUUUGUCUGAACACUGGAUUGGAUCUGUAGGGCACUGAAGUACAGCAUAAACAAAUGUGGCCGUUUCCUCUGAGAAAUUCUCACUCCCUCUGGGUCCAACCAUGACUAAGAAUCAUGGUUUUUCACCUUAGGCAGAUUCUCCUUUUCAAAGCUAACAAUUUUAUAGUUGUAAAUAAAGAAACAUAAAUAAUCAGUGGUGCAAGUAAUACAACAGCAAUAGGCCAUUUAAGUAUCAAAAUGACAUCAGAAGGCUGCUUUUUUCUCCACUUGUAGCUCCAGAGGGCUGUAAUUUACUUCAGAAAUUUGGUUACAACCGAUGAGAGUGGAGGUUUCUCGAACAAAGCCAACUGAAUUGUUUUCAAAUAGCAAUCCUAGAUAUUCCACAGACCACACAUGGCAAAGAGAACACUAACAUGAAAGAUGAAAAAUCCAUUAACAACAGGUUUGCUUCUAUGAAGUAAUUUGUCUCUAUGCUUAAUGACUUUAGGUAUGGUAUAAGUUAUGCCUUGGAUUUCAGAAGAGUGUAAUGUCAUGUAGGAAUUCUAUAAUUAAGCUCUUCCUGUGGCAAGAUUACUUAUUUUUUCACUGUGAAUCUUGAAAAAAAAAAACAAUGCUAUUACAUUAAAAUGCCCCCAGGAUAAUUUUAUAUCAUGCCUACAACCUGUAUGACAAAUACAGAAUAAUAUUUUUUGCAUUAAAUGGUAUAACCUAAGUCUAGCAGCAAGAAUAAACUGGAUUCAGAUGGGAACUGGAGUUGUCAGAAACAUCCUGUUCCUCCACAAACAGGCAGAAAACUGAAGUCACCUCUCCCUCCUCUGUGUUCUCCUCUUACAUGUACAUAGAAAUACAGAAGAAGUGCUUCUGAGAGCUGCUUUGGACAGCUAUAAAAAAUCCACUAAACCCACUGGGACUCACAAGUCCAUGCAGCACCACAGAGGUUGGUGAGCAACUGUUGAUCCAAGAGUCUUCUGGACACUUGUCUGUGAAGCAGGAACAACAGUGCAGAACAUAUUUCUAUAUGGCUAGUCAGUAAGUUACAUCAUAAGUCGGCCAAAAUACUCAAGCACAUGCCGUUUGCACACUAAGUAAGUGUGCAAAUAAGUGUGCAAACUAAGUGUGCUGUUUGCCCACUAAGUAAGCUACACUUUGUAGCAGAGCAGUGUUCACAAUCAUGCCGCAGUGGAAUAGACAACAGCGCAAGAUCUGGGCUUAAAAGGCUUCUAGGAUUACAAGGAAAAACACUAGUAUUACAUUUGGUACAUGAAUAAAAACGGAGAAAUAAUUCUGAUAGCAAGAAAUCUGGAGAAAUGUAUGGAUAUUGAUUCAAAGGAAGGAAAGGUGUAGAUCUAUGUCAUUUGUGUAUGUUCCUGCAACAGCUUUCACAUUUGAAAACGACACAAAAAAGCAUAUAAAAAUAUAUAUGCUUAUACCAGCCAGUUCCCGGCAAGCUUAAAUAUAUCGUUAAGCUUCACCUCUUUGUCUUCAGUCUUCAGAAACAGCCUUAAUUAAAAUACAAACUGUUAUUACUUUCAGAGAACAAUAACCUUAUUUACAGUUAUAUUACAGUUAGUUGCAAAUGUGAAGAAAAAAAACAUUUAUUCUUUUUGGCAUGAACUGAAGACAUCUGGAUUAUUUUAUCCUCCUAUCAUUGCCUGGCUCUGAUAUUGUUCAAUACAUGAAUGUGAGUAAAUCGAGAAAAAAAAAAAGGAACAUAAAUCAUUAUUUCCUUCCCUUUUCCCACCCUUUAAUAAGUGAAAUAUCAGGCUUCUUGUUACUAAUUCAUUAGUGAGGUUUUAAGCCUUUGUGGUUACAAGAAUUCCACUAUAGUUUGAGUUUAUGUUGCACUGGUUGAAAAAAAAAUGCAUUUAGAAAGGGUUAACAUGCGGAACACACUAUAAAAAGCAGCAGUAAAAGCUGCAAGUAUGUUCAAAAGGAGACUGAGACUUAAAAGGGGAUAAAAGAUAAAUAAACCACUAUAGAGUAGAAACACAAGCCUAGAGAGGCCUUGAAAGAACUGACCUCCUUUCAUUCCAGAAUAUCAGUAUAGUAUUCUAAUUAAAUUACAUUUUUACCUUAUUAUUCCUAACUCUGGUUAACUGAUUUCAUCCCAAAUGUAUGCUUUAUUGAUUAGCAUUGCUCACAGUUCUCUCUGCUUCUCUUGGCAGUUUAAAUAUUCAGUGCGCUGAUCCUCCAGCUUUAUCAAAGAAUUUUUUCAUGUCUACCCCUCAGCUAAUCUGAAGCCACCUUUUAAAUGCUUAGCCCAGAAGAACAAUCCACAGCCAUAUUAGAUUUGUGAAAGAAACAGCAAAGUACAUUCCCCUUCCCUUCCCUUCCCUUCCCUUCCCUUCCCUUCCCUUCCCUUCCCUUCCCACACAGAGAAGUAACCAGAUUAGGACAAUUUCUACAAUUUGCAUUUUCGCCAAUGGUUGUUACAGAAUUUUCCUAGCAAUGAACUUUUAAAAAAGUAAAGCACAAAUCUGCUCAAGGUUAGGGUUAUGGUUAACCUUAUCCAGUCUAGCCACAAUUGCAGAGAUGCUGCAAUGUUAGUGAGGAGCAAAGCAGCUAGAGUGACUGCUGAAGCAAGCCCAAAAUACUGACAUACUGACUUUAUAACAGAGACAGCAGAUUUCUGUGGGCGAGAGUGUUCAAAAUAAUAAGGAGCAAGAAAAUGACAGCUUCUAGGGUUUGUGAAAAUGUAUGACAAUUUGUGGAUUGGUUUCCAAUUUUCUCCCUUUCCUGUGGAAAAGAAUCUUCAGCUGGGAAUGGAUUUUGAAAAGAAUUUAUGCAUAGGUAUGCUAAGGAAAAUCAGGGAGAUUUAAACAUUUGGCAUCAAGCAGCAUUUUGCCCUAUAUUCAGUACUUUGUUUUGAUUUAAUAAGUAAAUCAUCACAUAAGUGAUUCAGAAGUUUGUGCACUGGACACUAGUUUAGGUCAAAGAAACCGGCAUGCAGAAGUAAGAAGUUCUCUUCCUCAGCAAGUAUUUUUUGGCCUGCAAUACAUGAUUUGAGAAGAAAAACACCAACAAGUGGAAGCUGAGAUGUCUAUCUCUGAUUUUUCAAGAUGUUUGGGCAUGUGAAUUUUAUUUCAAUUAAAAUGAAACUCUCAGAGAUGCUCUCUCACUUUAUAAUAGCUGUCUACCUCAUUCCUAGUUUAUUAAACACAAGGUUUGUUUAGUUUGUAAAUCACACUAACAGAGUAAAAUUGGCACAUAGUAAUUAGCAUCAAAUUACCAAACAGUAAAAUUUCAAGGAACUCAGCCAAGGCUAGGCAGAGGUUGUAUGUAACUCACUGCAAGUUACAAGGAGCUUAGAAGAAAAAAUACAGCAGGCAAGGAAACAAUAUUCUGAAGACCAAAAGCUGUCAUAGUGAUUUGAGAGAAAAUACUGAAAAAAAAAUCAGAAAAGAAAAAUUGGGGGGUUAAUGACAAAAAUUUCACAAUUGUGAGCCCAACAGAAAUUAUUUUCCUAUUAUAUUCUGGGCAGGGAGAAAUGAAACACCUGAAAAUUAAAAGGAGUAAAUGGAGAGUAUAACAUAAACCUGGUAGGAAGAAAAGGAGCCCCCAGAAUCCUUGAGCGAUCAAAAGCUUUUCUACUUUGAAAACUUUUUCAAGAUAAAAAAAAAAAAAAAAAACAUCUUUUAAGUACUUUAUCACUUUUAGACAUUUAUCUUGAUCAAAAAACAGGCAAGAGGAGAUUCCAGAGAAAGAUUUUUGCAAAUAAACAGAAAACAACAUGAGUGCUUGCAUACCCAUAGCAGUGUGCUUGUAGCAGUCAAGAUUUUAGAUUUGCAAAGUGUUUGGGAAAUUUUUCUGAUCCAAUAACCCAUGAAAUAAUAAAGGGAGAGGAUCCUCAUAUAUAUUCAUUUUCAGUUUAUCCUCCUAAUUCUAAUAUUUUUUAUCUUAACAUUGGGAGGCUCUCCAGAGCUGCAGUCACUUAUUGCUAGGAAUGAGCAAUCAAACUCUGUUUAUAAAGGUAACUUAAAAGUUACCCCAACAACUGUCAAACAGUUUUGGACUUCAGAAGAUGCAGUUAUUUCAUGUCUGGUGGGGAUUUGAUAUGUUUAUUCAAACUUUUCACUUGUUUAUUCAAACAUUUCUCUGAGACCUAAAACUAACAUCCCAGCACUCUGCAAAAAUGCCUAUUAUGCUAGUAUUUCUGAUUCAUCCAUAGCCAAGAAUUACUAGAAAUCUGAUUUAUAAAAAAACGAAACAGACAAAAAACAAAAAAAACAAACAAAAAAAAAAACUUUUUUUUUUUCUCCCAUUCUGUCCCACCUACCUUUUUCAGUUGUUUGGAGAACAUCCAAGAGAUAAGGCAAUGGCCUGGAAGUACACAGUCACAACAGCCACAAACUAUGCAUUGCUAGUACUUUUUACAGUUUAGUUCUGUUCUCAAUUUUUAAAAGAACUCAUUUGUUUUGUUAAUGGUUUGCUGUAGGCAGUAACAUAAAGGGCACCACUAUUGCUCAGAAAGCAGCAGUUUUUCCUAGUAACACAUGUUACAAGAGAUCUACCUGUAAAAGUCACAGUAAAAAACACAGGUAAAUAGGAAUAACUGAAAGCAAAUACCUGCAUACUAAGGGAGAAAUUAAUCAUCUAACUAUGUGUAAAGCAGAAAACUACAUAUUAAUAUUUUAACUUCAUAUUUUGCUAGGCAGAAACAGGAUUUGUACAUGUAAAUAUAUAUUUCAGGAAAAACUAGCAUUAUGGACAUAGACUCCCAUUCAAAAUUCAAUGCCUACUUUAAGUAAAUGUAGAAUGAUCUCCUAUGAUAAUCAAAAACAUGAAUUUUUGCACCAUUCUGAGCUGGCAUUCUCACACUUGGAAUUACUUUAGUUGAUAUUUGUAUUAUUGAUGGUGACAUGUCAGUUCUUCACAUUUGAAUCAAGUAUGGCUUCUGUCAAAGGAAGUCUAUGGCACAGGUCUAGAUUUUAGCAAACGCUGCAAUGAACCAUAGAGUUAUGUGCCCUUCAGUUUUGAGUUUAACUUCUAAUCAAAAGCUGAAGAGGUAUGACUGUCCCUGGGACUUGAAUCCAAACCACAAGAUUCCAGUGUAUUUUGACUGAAGAUUUUACUGACAAAUAUCACGGACACACUCGGGCUCCACAGAUGGGUGAAAACUAGAGAUGGACAGAAUGAAGUGUCAGUACAAAUUAUUGAGCAACAAGUAAUGUUUAGUAACAUAUAAAGCAUUUAUCUGUGACUCACUGUAUUUAUACUUUUUAAUUUUCAUCUCAAAUAUACAUAUGCAUUUUGAAAUUUUCUCUUUGUUUACAGUUUUCUUUACCAAAUGAAAACUUUAAAAAAUAAAACCAUCUCUUUUUUAAAAA